rnacentral:rRNA from 1 species
GAUUUCUGGUUUAAUGCACCUGGCCCGCGGCCACUAGGCUUGUGAGUGCCGGCGCGCGUUUACCAUCCUUCUAGAAAACGUUUCUGCCAUUAACUUGGUUGGGAAUGCGAUCUAGAUCUUUUACGAAGAAAAAAUUAGAGUGUUUAAAGCAGGCUUUUGCUAUGAAUACAUUAGCAUGGAAUAAUAAUCUAUGAAGUAAUGAUUGACUAGUAUUGGCCGGCCAGAGGUGAAAUUCUUGGAUUCGGUCAAGACUAACUUAUGCGAAAGCAUU